rnacentral:rRNA from 1 species
CCUACGGGAGGCAGCAGUGAGGAAUAUUGGUCAAUGGGCGCGAGCCUGAACCAGCCAAGUCGCGUGAGGGAAGACGGCCCUACGGGUUGUAAACCUCUUUUGCCGGGGAGCAACGGGCGCCACGUGUGGCGCCACUGAGAGUACCAGGAGAAAAAGCAUCGGCUAACUCGGGGCCAGCAGCCGCGGUAGUACGGAGGAUGCGAGCGUUAUCCGGAUUGAUUGGGUUAAAAGGGUCAGUAGGCGGAGCGUUAAGUCAGUGGUCAAAUUGAGGGGCUCAACCCCUUCCCGCCAUUGAAACUGGCGCUCUUGAGUGGAAGAGAAGUAUGCGGAAUGCGUGGUGUAGCGGUGAAAUGCAUAGAGAUCACGCAGAACCCCGAUUGCGAAGGCAGCAUGCCGGCUUCCGACUGACGCUGAAGCACGAAAGCGUGGGGAUCGAACAGGAUUAGAUACCCUUGUAGUC